AUUGAACGCUGGCGGCAUGCUUUACACAUGCAAGUCGAACGGUAACAGGCCUUCGGGUGCUGACGAGUGGCGAACGGGUGAGUAAUGCAUCGGAACGUGCCCAGUCGUGGGGGAUAACGCAGCGAAAGCUGCGCUAAUACCGCAUACGAUCUGUGGAUGAAAGCGGGGGACCGUAAGGCCUCGCGCGAUUGGAGCGGCCGAUAUCAGAUUAGGUAGUUGGUGGGGUAAAGGCCCACCAAGCCAACGAUCUGUAGCUGGUCUGAGAGGACGACCAGCCACACUGGGACUGAGACACGGCCCAUACUCCUACGGGAGGCAGCAGUGGGGAAUUUUGGACAAUGGACGCAAGUCUGAUCCAGCCAUGCCGCGUGCGGGAAGGAGGCCUUCGGGUUGUAAACCGCUUUUGUCAGGGAAGAAACGCUCUGGGUUAAUACCUCGGGGUAAUGACGGUACCUGAAGAAUAAGCACCGGCUAACUACGUGCCAGCCGCCGCGGUAAUAC
rnacentral:rRNA from 1 species